rnacentral:misc_RNA from 1 species
AACGCACGAGACCUGCGGACCUGCGGAAGGAUCAUUAGUGAAUCACGGUCGGAAGACCAUAAUAAACCUCUGUGAACUGUGGCCUCUGGGCUUUUACCAAACAAUGUGUAAUGAACGUCAUUUGUAACUUUAACAGAAAAAAACUUUCAACAAUGGAUCUCU